rnacentral:rRNA from 1 species
UACGAAGGGGGCUAGCGUUGCUCGGAAUUACUGGGCGUAAAGGGCGCGUAGGCGGAUAGUUUAGUCAGAGGUGAAAGCCCCAGGGCUCAACCCUGGAAUUGCCUUUGAUACUGGCUAUCUUGAGUUCGGGAGAGGUGAGUGGAACUCCGAGUGUAGAGGUGAAAUUCGUAGAUAUUGGGAAGAACACCGGUGGCGAAGGCGGCGACCUGGUCCGAGACUGACGCUGAGGCGCGAAAGCGUGGGGAGCAAACAGG